rnacentral:RNase_P_RNA from 1 species
GGAGUGGGUCAGGCGAACGCGCGAUCUAAUCAUACGCAUUAGACGUGAGGAAAGUCCGAGCUCCACAGGACAGGAUGCUGGGUAACGCCCAGGGGGGGUGACCCCACAGAAAGUGCAACAGAAAGAUACCGCCCGCGNUCGCGUGGGUAAGGGUGAAAUGGCGAGGUAAGAGCUCACCGCGUCAAUGGCGACAUUGACGGCACGGCAAACCUCAUCCGGAGCAAGGCCAAAUAGGGGAAGAGAGGUGGUCCGCCUCACGAUCAUUCCCGGGUAGGCUGCAACGAGGCGAUGGGUAACUUUCGUCCCAGAUAAAUGCUCGCACGGCGCGCCGAACAAAGCGCGUAGACAGAACUCGGCUUAUAGACCCACUCCAACU